rnacentral:lncRNA from 1 species
GGAGUGAGCAACGGGAGACGAACUCGGCCCCGAAGCAGGACGACGGCGCCUCCGGAAGCCAGAAAAGGCCAAGAACCGGCCCUGCGUGGGGAGCUUAGCCCGUGAGCCCCGCAGCCUCCCCACCACGGAACUGCAGUCGGGAAACCGGCCUUUUCCUCCGCGGCCCAUGGGAGUGGUUCGUUACAGCGGCGACGGGAAGCGUCCAAGCGUCCCUCCAAGACAUUCGCCGCAGCAGCUUUUAAACCAUUUGCGUUUCUGCCGGUUUGCGCUGGGACACUGGUCUCCUCCCCUUGGGCUAGGACUUAGACCUGUACCCUCCAACUCUUACCCCAUUCUCAGGCCUUUGGACUCAGGCUGGCACAAGCCACCAGCUUUCCUGGGCUCCAGCUUGCAGACAGCAGAUCUUGAGACUUCUCAGCCUCCACAACUGAGUGAGCCAAUUCACAUAAAAAAAUUCCAUCCGUCUCUCUCUCUCCCCAACCAUCUUCACCCAUUGAUUCCCCUAUUCUGGAAACGCGUUUCUCUAAUGUGUGUUUUAUCCUCCUACUGGGAGGUUGGUGUCAUCGCUCCGCAGUGCUGACCCUGGAGCAUGCUUAGUGGGGAAACGCAGGUCCUUCUGAGAUUUCAAGCUGUAAGGCGCUCUCCAACUGUGAAAGUGUGACAUGGUCCUGGAAUAACGGCGCCCACACGGUGCGUUAGGUGAGAGGUCAGCAUAAAGUUUACUUUCUUAUCCAUAGCGACCAUGUGGGCUGCCGUUUGGGAUAUAAAAACAAUGGCACGGGCUUAUCUUCCAGAAAGUCCUCUUAUGAAUGUGAGAGGCCAGAAAGUUGUUUCAGCGUGGAAGCACUUGCAAACACGGCCUAGGUUUUGGAUGAAUGGCAAGUCUAUCUAGAUUGGGUUUUUUUUCCAAUUUCAAAAAGAACUUUAAAAUAAAUAUUUAAAUACGAAUGGCAGGAACAAGGUAUUUUAUCUUAUUACAAUUGUGUGCAGCACUUAAUAGAUUUCCUACAUAGAAGCUCCCAGGGGGGCGAAAGUGCAUGGGCUUGGAAGCCGUGGGGAUGCUGGUGCAAACUCUGAACUGCAUAUAAAUUGAUCUGUCUGGAUCACUCAUCUGAGACACAGCUGCACUAACAUCUGCAAACAAAGCUGCGGACAAGAACUCGAUAACGAGGAAAGACCCUCAAACAGCUCCUCGCUCUUGGGGGACGCUCAACAGUAGCUUUGGUUAUUAUUUUAUACGGCAUCAUUUGUUCCCAAGCAACCUUGUAAAAUACACAGGACUAAUGCUAUUAAUGACCAUUCUGUAUCUGAGAGACUCAGGGAGAUCAAGAUGUCUACAGCCUGAUAGACACCUGUGUUAUGAAGGAGUAAGAAGUGUGGGAGCUGCCGUAGACGUCAUCACACUCCAGGUUCCUUAUGUAAGGUCUCUCACCAGCACCCUAGGUACACGGCAGCAGCCAG